UACGUAGGGGCGAGCGUUGUCCGGAUUAUUGGGCGUAAAGAGCGUGUAGGCGGCCAGGUAGGUCUGCUGUGAAAACUCGAGGCUCAACCUCGAGACGUCGGCGGAAACCAUCUGGCUAGAGUCCGGAAGAGGAGAGUGGAAUUCCUGGUGUAGCGGUGAAAUGCGCAGAUAUCAGGAAGAACACCCGUGGCGAAGGCGGCUCUCUGGGACGGUACUGACGCUGAGACGCGAAGCGUGGGAGCGAACAGG
rnacentral:rRNA from 1 species